AGUUAAUUAAUUUACUUAAAAUAUUUAUUUUGAAAAUAAAAAACAGAAUUUUAUCUAUUAACUU
rnacentral:tRNA from 1 species